rnacentral:lncRNA from 1 species
CAAAUAAGUCAACAUGACCAAAAUUGUCUGUCAACUCCUUAAGGAGUUAUUGCCGUUUAUAGUCAAUUUUUAACAACUUUUCGUCAAUUUUUAACAACUUUUCGUCAUUUUUUGCAACUUGUACAAAAUUCUUCUCUGAAACUACUGGGCCAAAUUUAACCAAACUUGGCCACAAUUAUCAUUGUGGUAUAUAGUUUAAAAAAUGUGUCCGAUAACCCCGCCUACCAAACAAAAUGGCCGACAUAGCUAAAAUUAGAACAUAGUGGUAAAAUGCAGUUUUUGCUUUAUAUCUUUGAAACUAAGACAUUUAGGGCAAAUCUUUCAAGGUUUAAAUGUCCAUCAGAAUAAGAUCUAUCCCCUCUCAAAAUUUUAGAUGAAUCUGACAACCGUUGUUGGGUUGCUGCCCUAAAAUUGGUAAUUUUAAGGAAAUUUUGCAGUUUUUGGUUAUUAUCUUGAAUACUAUUAUAGGUAGAGAUAAACUGUAAACAGCAAUAAUGUUCAGCAAAGUAAGAUCUACAAAUAAGUCAACAUGAUCAAAAUUAUUAGAGGACCCCUUAAGGAGUUAUUGCCCUUUAUAGUCAAUAUUGAACAACUUUUCGUCAUUUUUGUUACUUGUACAAAAAUCUUCUUUUCUAUAACUAUGGGCCAAAUUUAACCAAACUUGGCCACAAUCAUUACUAGGGUAUCUAUUUAAAAAAAGUGUCUAAUGAUCCCGCCUACCACCCAAGAUGGCCGACAUCAGUAAAUACAGUAACAGGUGAGCGACAUAGGCUCCUGAGAGCCUCUAGUUAU